rnacentral:rRNA from 1 species
UACGAAGGGGGCGAGCGUUGUUCGGAAUUACUGGGCGUAAAGGGCGCGCAGGCGGCUCUGAAAGUCAGAUGUGAAAGCCCCGGGCUUAACCUGGGAACUGCAUUUGAUACUCUAGAGCUUGAGUACGGGAGAGGAGAGUGGAAUUCCCAGUGUAGAGGUGAAAUUCGUAGAUAUUGGGAAGAACACCGGUGGCGAAGGCGGCUCUCUGGACCGUAACUGACGCUGAGGAGCGAAAGCGUGGGGAGCGAACAGG